UGUAGACAGACCUGUGUGUAUCUCUAUCCCCCACGAGCCCCGCCCCCACCCUGACUCUCGUGGGGGCGGGGUUUCCGGGGGCCUCGUCUGAGGUGUUUGCUCAUAUCUCCAGGGCAUCACCAGAAGUUCUGAUACAGAGCAUAACUUUGAAAUCAGUCACAUGCCUGGCAGGCAGGUCUGUAAACCCAGCUGCUCGGGGAGGCGGAAGUAGUGGAGAAAUCACAGGAAGUUCAAAGCCAGCCUGGGAACUGUGGGAAGAGCCUACUUCGGAACAAACGGGCUGCUUUUCUCCUACAAGAUACCUAGCAACAACAGCACGCUGCUAGACCUCUUUCUCUGCUUGCACUUCCUCUCAGCUUCCUGGACAAUGCACACCCUUUGUUUAGAUUGCAGUGCACUCUAAUGUUCCGGGCAGCUGCCUUUGUACUGCCCACAGCAGCCUUGGCUGCCCCUGCCCUCCGCUUCCCCAGCUGUUCCGUGAAGCCGCCUGGGUUGCUUGUUCUUUCCCGCCCUGAGUUUUCUCUGGGACACUCAGCUGAAGACAAUGGGGAAAUCACAGUCGAGUUCUGCGGCGCUGAGAGAUACAAGAGUGAAGGCUCCUGCUAAAACAUGGAAAUGAAUGAAGAUUCAAGUGGAAGUCACAGGCAUGACCAACAGAUGGCACCAAAAAUCCCAGUCUUGGGUAAGUACCUCAGUGUAUGCCAGCACAGUGGCCCCUCCUCAGUCAGACCAGCCUUCUACUGCUGGAAAUUUUUUUUUAAAAGUCUACAUACUUUCUGUUUUAAUGGAGUGAAAUUAGCCCCGACCUGCUGCUUCGACCCCAGUAGCUGUAACUACAGACACUUAUAGGUCUCCCAGCUCACUUUCAGUGCAGUAAGCCCUUGGAAGCCCAAUGCAGACAGUACAGAUUCUGGAGCCAAUUCUGCCUUGUCAAAAUCCUACCCCCAAAUAGUGUUGACUUCCGGCAAGCUGCAUCUUGCCCCCCCCCCCCAUCUAUUAAGAGAGGUUAUUACAAUACACACCUCAUCUAAGGUUACCAUAACGACCAAAUCGUUUUUGGCACACACUAAUUCCUCGUGAACUAUCAGGAGGAAAAAAUAUAAACCUGGCUGAGAUACCUGCUUUAUAGAGCUACCACUCAGGCAAUGUGGGCGAGCACUGAUCUUCCAUUUUCUCCUGCUUCAGCCUGAUUUUACUCAAGCUGUUCUGCCAUCUCUAGUUCCCCCUUUUCUGAUUACAGAAACCUUACUCCAGUCACAUCGUGUGUUGCACUGUCCUGUGUACACAGAACAGACCAGCAGCACUAGAAGGGAAUAUUCAGGCCUUGCAAGUGGGGCCCUUAAGACUAGUUCCACCCACACCUUGGCCACCUUAGAGCCACUGAUCCUUCAGGCCAACCUACCCUUUGGUCCCCACUGCACCAGCAGUUCCAAACAGCCCUGGUGCUUGUCCUGGGAGUUUUCCAAUCUGGACCAUGAGGGCUGGACUGGGUAGACAGCAGGUACUAGCUCCUUCCCAGUGCCAGGCUGACCUGAGCCGAGAAGUAACCGAUAUGGGAAGUACAACUCCAAACCAGCACAGAAGGAAAUACUUAGUGUCCCUCUAAUCAACCCCAGCCUGCUUACCUAUCAAAGUGCUUUAGAAACCAAGAUGAAGACCCUACACAUAAUAAAAUGCCUUUUUGACCAGUUGGGGAGGGAUGUUACUCAGGAGAUACACUGACCAGAGUGCAGCACAGGUUUAGAGACCCGUUUUGCAAUCCAUGGAUGACGGCCCGGGACUCCUUUCAAACUGCUUUAAGGCUGUUCUCCAUGUGUUCUAGAUUAUGCUUGAAGUGAACCUAGCUUAGUCUAUGAGCAGAGCUGUGGGGUUAAACCUUACCUUUGCUCCAUUCCAUUUACCUUCAGUUGUUAAACCCCAGUCACAACCCAGGGAAAUUCUCUAGACUUGUUCUUAGGUCUAGAACUCACCAGCUUAGUUCUUUCCUGCACAGGAAAACCACCCUCAGCAGGACGUCUGUAAGCGGUUUCAGGACAGCUACAACAGUCUUCCUCAUCACUUAUCUGCCUUCAGGUAUACUUUGCUCACUUGUGGCAGAAUUAGCUAUCACUAUUUUGGACACUGCUCCAUUUCCUUUUGUACACUAUGCUUCCUGCCCCACUGUACUAAAGCCUCAUGUCCAUACAUCAUAGAGCUAUGGACUUGAAACAUAAGACAUGCCUUAUAACCUAGUUGAAACUUGACCUGCUAAGCCAUCCACUCACCUAGUCACCAGCACAUAUUCAGUAGCACAGCAAAUGCUUAGAACCACCUAGACAGCAGUCCUUGUCCAGCAUGUUUAAGGCUCUGGGCUCAAUUCUUAGCCUCUAAAUAUAGACCUAGGGGCCAAGUGAGGGUACGGCUAAUGGUGGAUGCCCAGCACUGCAUUGAGCAGAGCAGUCCCCACCCAACCCAGCACUAAAUAGUUGACCCAGUCAGUAAUGCUCAAAACAAUCUUAUUUCUUUUGAAUCACCUUGAACACAGAAACAAAUCUCACUAAGAAAACCAACUCAAAACUUCAAUAAUAUUUUCUUUAUUUACAAGUUAGAAUCAAGAAAGAAAAGACAGUCUGGGGGCCAACUGGAGAGGUGACUAAAAUCCCCAGGCCCCAAAUGGAGUGGAAGUAAAGGGAAGAGUAGAAAAAAAAGUCAAUGUAAAAAAACAAAAAGAGCUCCCUCUUCUUCCCUCCCCAUGGAGGCUGGAGGGCGGACCACGGCGCUACACCCCCAGCCUUACCACCUAGCUUAAAUAAA
rnacentral:sRNA from 1 species